rnacentral:rRNA from 1 species
UACGUAGGGGGCAAGCGUUGUCCGGAUUUAUUGGGCGUAAAGAGCUCGUAGGUGGUUCGGUAAGUCGGAUGUGAAAUCUCGGAGCUUAACUCCGAAACUGCAUUCGAUACUGCCGUGCUUGAGGACUGGAGAGGAGACUGGAAUUUACGGUGUAGCGGUGAAAUGCGUAGAUAUCGUAAGGAAGACCAGUGGCGAAGGCGGGUCUCUGGACAGUUCCUGACGCUGAGGCACGAAGGCCAGGGGAGCAAACGGG